UUAAUAACGUAUAUUUCGAAUAUUUAGCUGAGAAAAUAAUGACGAACGUUUACAGUAUUCUAGAAACUAACUUAGUUGAAGUAAAUAACACAAUUAGAAGCCAUCAAAUAAAAGAGAUGAGUGACAAUGUAAUUCAACAGAUAUACAGUCGAAUUAUGGACCGGGUUUCAUUUCGCAAAAAACAAAUCGAGAAGCAGACACAAUAUAUUUUGAAAGUUUUUUCUUCUAAUCGGUGGAUGUAAAAUAAAUUGCAGCUUUUUAUAUGUGGACAUAUCUCAUAUGAAUUUUUUUCAUAUAAUUUUUUUAUUUUGUACGUACUACUUCUUUUACUGCUUUAAAUAUUGUUUAUUUAGAUGUACUAUCUGAUGCUUUUAUAUUUAUAUUUAUAAAAUUAUAUGAAUGCAUGCAUCAAAAUUUUCAUUCUUUUGCAAUCUUGUUUGAACCAGUUAAACUAUAUAUUAUUACAAAAAUUAAUUAAUUUGUACAUUUAUUAUUAUUAAUUAUGUAGAAUUUGUGAUGGAUUAGCAUUUUCUUAGUUUACAAUAAAUAACAUGACAAUUCUC